CGUGCUGACGUCAAAGUGCUGCGAGGGCGUUUCGAAAGAACGGGUGCACUUCUGUCUCAUGCUACUUUGGAUUCAAUUCAAUAUCAAGGUAUGUAAAAAAAAGACAAAAUUACCCGGAGAAUUGGUUCAAACAUGCAGUGUUCAGUGGCUCCGCGGUUAAGGACACCGGCCCGAGAUCAAGAGAUCUGAGGUUCGAGCACAGGUGUCAACAUGCAUGUGAAUGGUGCCGAAGCCGGGCCUCAAUGCCUGAAGUGAGGAGGAGGAGUCUACACCUUCGUAGGGGCGGGGCUUCACAAAGGGUGCAGCCUGACACAGUAAGUGGAGAAAUCAGUACAUGUGAGUGAGCAGAAAGGAGUAAGGAGAGAGAGAGAGAGAGAAGAAUAAAAAGAGCAAGAUCAUUUUUUGAGUCCGAUGCAUAAUCAAUCAGAUACAGAGCAACCAAACUACGAUAACCUGGCUUUGAACCUUGGACCUCCUGAUCCAGAGACAAUGCUCACAGCACCUGACCCACUGGGCCCUGCACUCUUGUGACAAUUCUCCUGGUAAUUUUAUCUUUUUUUUACAUCAUAGAUGCAUAAUCAAUCAGAUGCAGAGCAACCAAACUACAAGUCCGCUGGACUUGAACCUCCUGAUCCAGAGACAAUGCUCACAGCACCUGACCCACUGGCCCUGCACUUUUGUGACAAUUCUCCUGGUAAUUUUGUCUUUUUUUUAGGUCAAUACUAUAUAAGAGGGAGCUUGCCAACCUAGAGCCCCAGAGUUCCUGAUCCAAGUGUCUGUGCUUUUACCUCCAAGCUACUGAACCAGCAGCUUGAUGGCAAAAAAAAUUUGAGUGAGGUUUAGUGUUUAUAUUAUUACGAACUUUAAAAUCAGGAUUUGAACCAGUACUUUUAAGAAUUGAAGUCGAAAGUUUAUCAAACAAGCCACUGAACCUGCGGCAUGUCGCCAAUUUUUUUUUGAGUGAGGUUUUGCGUUUGUGUGUAUUACGUUAUAUAUUUGAGAACUUGAAAAAAUCGUGGGAUUUGAACCAGAACUUUUAAAAACUGAAGUCGAAAUUUUAUCCAUCGAGCCACCGAACAAGGCGGCUUGUCGGCAAAGAAGUUUUUGAGUGAGGUUUAUUGUAUUAUAUUAUUAUGAACUUAAAAUCGUGGGAUUUGAACCAGGACUUUUAAGAAUUGAAGUCAAAAGUUUAUCCAUCGAGCCACUGAACCUGCGGCAUGUUGCUAAAAAUUUUGAGUGAGAUUUAGUGUAUUAUAUUAUUAUGAACUUUAAAAUCGUGGGAUUUGAACAAGGACUUUUAAGAUUUGAAGUCGAAAGUUUAUCCAUCGAGCCACUGAACCUGUGGCAUGUCGGCAAAUUUUUUUGAGUGAGGUUUUGCGUUUGUGUGUAUUACAUUAUAUAUUUGAGAACUUGAAAAAAUCGUGGGAUUUGAACCAGAACUUUUAAGAAUUGAAGUCGAAAUUUUAUGCAUCGAGCCACCGAACAAGGCGACUUGUCGUCAAAUAAUAUUUUGAGUGAGGUUUAGUGCAUUAUAUUAUUACGAACUUCAAAAUCGUGAGAUUUGAACCAGGACUUUUAAGAAUUGAAGUCGAAAGUUUAUCCAUCGAGCCACCGAACAAGGCGGCUUGUCGUCAAAGAAGUUUUUGAGUGAGGUUUAGUGUAUUAUAGUAUUAUGAACUUUAAAAUCGUGGGAUUUGAACAAGGACUUUUAAGAAUUGAAGUCGAAAGUUUAUCCAUCGAGCAACUGAACCUGCAAGCAUGUUGCUAAGAUUUUUUGAGUGAGGUUUAGUGUAUUAUAUUAUUAUGAACUUUAAAAUCGUGGGAUUUGAACAAGGACUUUUAAGAUUUGAAGUCGAAAGUUUAUCCAUCGAGCCACUGAACCUGCGGCAUGUCCCCGAAUUUUUUUUGAGUGAGGUUUUGCGUUUGUGUGUAUUACAUUAUAUAUUUGAGAACUUGAAAAAAUCGUGGGAAUUGAACCAGGACUUUCAAGAACUGAAGUCGAAAUUUUAUCCAUUGAGCCACCGAACAAGGCGGUUUGUCGUUACAGAAGUUUUUGAGUGAGGUUUAGUGUAUUAUAGUAUUAUGAACUUUAAAAUCGUGGUAUUUUAACAAGGACUUUUAAGAAUUGAAGUCGAAAGUUUAUCCAUCGAGCAACUGAACCUGCGGCAUGUCGCCAAAAUCUUUUGAGUGAGGUUUAGUGUUUAUAUUAUUAUGAACUUUAAAAUCGUGAGAUUUGAACCAGAACUUUUAAGAAUUGAAGUCGAAAGUUUAUCCAUCUAGCCACCGAACAAGGCGACUUGUCAUCAAAUAAUUUUGUGAGUGAGGUUUAGUGUAUUAUAUUAUUAUGAACUUUAAAAUCAUGGGAUUUGAACAAGGACUUUUAAGAUUUGAAGUCGAAAGUUUAUCCAUCGAGCCACUGAACCUGCGGCAUGUCCCCGAAUUUUUUUUGAGUGAGGUUUUGCGUUUGUGUGUAUUACGUUAUAUAUUUGAGAACUUGAAAAAAUCGUGGGAAUUGAACCAGGACUUUCAAGAAUUGAAGUCGAAAUUUUAUCCAUCGAGCCUACGAACAAGGUGGCUUGUCGUCAAAGAAGGUUUUGAGUGAGGUUUAGUGUAUUAUAUUAUUAUGAACUUUAAAAUCAUGGGAUUUGAACCAGCACUUUUAAGAAUUGAAGUCGAAAGUUUAUCCAUCGAGCCACCGAACAAGGCGGCUUGUCGUCAAAUAAGUUUUUGAGUGAGGUUUAGUGUAUUAUAGUAUUAUGAACUUUAAAAUCGUGGGAUUUGAACAAGGACUUUUAAGAAUUGAAGUCGAAAGUUUAUCCAUCGAGCAACUGAACCUGCAAGCAUGUUGCUAAGAUUUUUUGAGUGAGGUUUAGUGUAUUAUAUUAUUAUGAACUUUAAAAUCGUGGGAUUUGAACAAGGACUUUUAAGAUUUGAAGUCGAAAGUUUAUCCAUCGAGCCACUGAACCUGCGGCAUGUCCCCGAAUUUUUUUUGAGUGAGGUUUUGCGUUUGUGUGUAUUACAUUAUAUAUUUGAGAACUUGAAAAAAUCGUGGGAAUUGAACCAGGACUUUCAAGAACUGAAGUCGAAAUUUUAUCCAUUGAGCCACCGAACAAGGCGGUUUGUCGUUACAGAAGUUUUUGAGUGAGGUUUAGUGUAUUAUAGUAUUAUGAACUUUAAAAUCGUGGUAUUUUAACAAGGACUUUUAAGAAUUGAAGUCGAAAGUUUAUCCAUCGAGCAACUGAACCUGCGGCAUGUCGCCAAAAUCUUUUGAGUGAGGUUUAGUGUUUAUAUUAUUAUGAACUUUAAAAUCGUGAGAUUUGAACCAGAACUUUUAAGAAUUGAAGUCGAAAGUUUAUCCAUCUAGCCACCGAACAAGGCGACUUGUCAUCAAAUAAUUUUGUGAGUGAGGUUUAGUGUAUUAUAUUAUUAUGAACUUUAAAAUCAUGGGAUUUGAACAAGGACUUUUAAGAUUUGAAGUCGAAAGUUUAUCCAUCGAGCCACUGAACCUGCGGCAUGUCCCCGAAUUUUUUUUGAGUGAGGUUUUGCGUUUGUGUGUAUUACGUUAUAUAUUUGAGAACUUGAAAAAAUCGUGGGAAUUGAACCAGGACUUUCAAGAAUUGAAGUCGAAAUUUUAUCCAUCGAGCCUACGAACAAGGUGGCUUGUCGUCAAAGAAGGUUUUGAGUGAGGUUUAGUGUAUUAUAUUAUUAUGAACUUUAAAAUCAUGGGAUUUGAACCAGCACUUUUAAGAAUUGAAGUCGAAAGUUUAUCCAUCGAGCCACCGAACAAGGCGGCUUGUCGUCAAAUAAGUUUUUGAGUGAGGUUUAGUGUAUUAUAGUAUUAUGAACUUUAAAAUCGUGGGAUUUGAACAAGGACUUUUAAGAAUUGAAGUCGAAAGUUUAUCCAUCGAGCAACUGAACCUGCAAGCAUGUUGCUAAGAUUUUUUGAGUGAGGUUUAGUGUAUUAUAUUAUUAUGAACUUUAAAAUCGUGGGAUUUGAACAAGGACUUUUAAGAUUUGAAGUCGAAAGUUUAUCCAUCGAGCCACUGAACCUGCGGCAUGUCCCCGAAUUUUUUUUGAGUGAGGUUUUGCGUUUGUGUGUAUUACAUUAUAUAUUUGAGAACUUGAAAAAAUCGUGGGAAUUGAACCAGGACUUUCAAGAACUGAAGUCGAAAUUUUAUCCAUUGAGCCACCGAACAAGGCGGUUUGUCGUUACAGAAGUUUUUGAGUGAGGUUUAGUGUAUUAUAGUAUUAUGAACUUUAAAAUCGUGGUAUUUUAACAAGGACUUUUAAGAAUUGAAGUCGAAAGUUUAUCCAUCGAGCAACUGAACCUGCGGCAUGUCGCCAAAAUCUUUUGAGUGAGGUUUAGUGUUUAUAUUAUUAUGAACUUUAAAAUCGUGAGAUUUGAACCAGAACUUUUAAGAAUUGAAGUCGAAAGUUUAUCCAUCUAGCCACCGAACAAGGCGACUUGUCAUCAAAUAAUUUUGUGAGUGAGGUUUAGUGUAUUAUAUUAUUAUGAACUUUAAAAUCAUGGGAUUUGAACAAGGACUUUUAAGAUUUGAAGUCGAAAGUUUAUCCAUCGAGCCACUGAACCUGCGGCAUGUCCCCGAAUUUUUUUUGAGUGAGGUUUUGCGUUUGUGUGUAUUACGUUAUAUAUUUGAGAACUUGAAAAAAUCGUGGGAAUUGAACCAGGACUUUCAAGAAUUGAAGUCGAAAUUUUAUCCAUCGAGCCUACGAACAAGGUGGCUUGUCGUCAAAGAAGGUUUUGAGUGAGGUUUAGUGUAUUAUAUUAUUAUGAACUUUAAAAUCAUGGGAUUUGAACCAGCACUUUUAAGAAUUGAAGUCGAAAGUUUAUCCAUCGAGCCACCGAACAAGGCGGCUUGUCGUCAAAUAAGUUUUUGAGUGAGGUUUAGUGUAUUAUAGUAUUAUGAACUUUAAAAUCGUGGGAUUUGAACAAGGACUUUUAAGAAUUGAAGUCGAAAGUUUAUCCAUCGAGCAACUGAACCUGCAAGCAUGUUGCUAAGAUUUUUUGAGUGAGGUUUAGUGUAUUAUAUUAUUAUGAACUUUAAAAUCGUGGGAUUUGAACAAGGACUUUUAAGAUUUGAAGUCGAAAGUUUAUCCAUCGAGCCACUGAACCUGCGGCAUGUCCCCGAAUUUUUUUUGAGUGAGGUUUUGCGUUUGUGUGUAUUACAUUAUAUAUUUGAGAACUUGAAAAAAUCGUGGGAAUUGAACCAGGACUUUCAAGAACUGAAGUCGAAAUUUUAUCCAUUGAGCCACCGAACAAGGCGGUUUGUCGUUACAGAAGUUUUUGAGUGAGGUUUAGUGUAUUAUAGUAUUAUGAACUUUAAAAUCGUGGUAUUUUAACAAGGACUUUUAAGAAUUGAAGUCGAAAGUUUAUCCAUCGAGCAACUGAACCUGCGGCAUGUCGCCAAAAUCUUUUGAGUGAGGUUUAGUGUUUAUAUUAUUAUGAACUUUAAAAUCGUGAGAUUUGAACCAGAACUUUUAAGAAUUGAAGUCGAAAGUUUAUCCAUCUAGCCACCGAACAAGGCGACUUGUCAUCAAAUAAUUUUGUGAGUGAGGUUUAGUGUAUUAUAUUAUUAUGAACUUUAAAAUCAUGGGAUUUGAACAAGGACUUUUAAGAUUUGAAGUCGAAAGUUUAUCCAUCGAGCCACUGAACCUGCGGCAUGUCCCCGAAUUUUUUUUGAGUGAGGUUUUGCGUUUGUGUGUAUUACGUUAUAUAUUUGAGAACUUGAAAAAAUCGUGGGAAUUGAACCAGGACUUUCAAGAAUUGAAGUCGAAAUUUUAUCCAUCGAGCCACCGAACCAGAAGUUGGUUGCCAAAUAAUUUUUUGAGUGAGGUUUAUUGUAUUAUAUUAUUACGGACUUUAAAAUCGUGGGAUUUGAACCAGGACUUUUAAGAAUUGAAAUCGAAAUUUUAUCCAUCGAGCCACCGAACCUGCAGUUGGUCGCCAAAGAAUUUUUUGAGUGAGGUUUAUUGUAUUAUAUUAUUACGGACUUUAAAAUCGUGGGAUUUGAACCAGGACUUUUAAGAAUUGAUGUCAAAAGUUUAUCCAUUGAGCCACCGAAGCAGCAGUUGGUCAUAAAAGAAUUUUUUGAGUGAGGUUUAUAUUAUUACGGACUUUAAAAUCAUGGGAUUCGAACCAGAACUUUUAAGAAUUGAAGUCGAAAGUUUAUCCAUCGAGCCACCGAACAAGGCACUUUACCAUCAAAUAAUUUUUUGAGUGAGGUUUAUUGUAUUAUACUAUUAUGAAUUUUAAAAUUGUGGGAUUUUUAAGAAUUGAAGUCAAAGUUUAUCUAUGGAGCCCAAAAAAUUUUUGAAUGAGGAUUUGCGUUCGUGUGUUUUACAUGUUUGUGAACUUGAAUAAAUCGGGGGAUUUGAACCAGGAGUAUUAGGCACCGAAGUCGAACGUUUAUCCUUUGAGCCAAUGAGCUGGCUGUGUUGCCGAUAUUUUUUGAGUGGUUAGUGUGUUUUAUAUGAUUAAGAACUUUAAAAAUGGGGGAGUUUGAACCAGAAGUUUUAGGCAUCGAAGGCAAACAUUUAUCCUUCGAGAUAACCGAUCCUUCGUGUUUUAUAUGAUCGAGAACUUUAAAACUCACAGGAUUUGAAUCAGGACUCACAGUCAUCCAAAUCGAGCGUUCAACCGAGCCACUUGUGCACUGCUAAAGUAUUUUUUUUUGGAGUGAGUUUUUGUGAACCUUAAAAACUGCAGGACUUUGGAGCACCAAAGACAAACAUGUUACUUUUGAGCCACUAACUCAGUAGUGAUCCAUUAAAUUCUGAAUGAAAAACUCUGGGAAUAAACUGACUGACCUCCAAACACCAUAGAAUUCAUCUAUUGAGCUAAGUGCUCAGUGGAGAUUUUUGAGUGAGUGUUUAUUUCCUGAGCCACUUAAUCUGCUUUACACAAAAAAAUAAUGUUCUGCUACAUAAUGGUUCUAAGAUGCAGAUUGCCAAAUCUAAAUUUGAAAACUUGUCUGAAAAAAACCCUUUACUUAAAGGUGCAGUUCUUGAAAAUCAGCGGCCACUAGCGUUGUAUUAUAGUUUUGCAACGAAUCUCUGAGUCAUUUGCUCACCCCUCCCUUUCGAAGUACGACGGUGGCCGCAACAGUAAAAAAAGAUGUCGUCUACUGAGACAGCGGAUAGCAGUGAUACAAGCAACGAUGUUUCUUUACAAAAAGUAAGGCAAUAUAUUAACUUAAUUAAUCAUUUAACAUGUAUUCUAUUGCGAAAUUUACUGUUACAAUUCAAUAAUUAGAUAUAUUUCUUGCGUGCUAUCUAGUACACGCUGAGAGUAGUGAAGUAACUAAAGUUAGCUAAUCGUAAAUAGCAACGCUGUUCAAAGCGUUUGAUCUGACAGUGACAUAGGCAGUUAGGUGUAAGUUAGUAGACGUUUGUCUCCCCAUUUGUAAAGUCAGGAACAACCGGAGUACGUACCGCAGGGACGGAAAAACAUUAUUAUUCUGAGGUUAUAUGGCCAUUUGUAUAAAAUGCUAACGUUACCGUUUCAACAAAACAGUUGUUUGGUAAACAUUGAAAAAGUGGAAACAUUGAAAAUGUUGAAUUAUCUUACAAGUCUAGCAGAAAACAGGCAACUUCGGCGUCGCCUUGAAAACAUUUGUCUUUCAACAGUGCCUUCCAUCUGGUAAUAGAUACAGCGAUGUUUAUCCUGGAUUUCUGCCGCCGUUUGUCUCUAAUUCGUCUGGCAGCAUCACGUUUGCGCUUCUUUGACGACGGAGAUUCACGCUCUGUCGGCUCUUGUGCACAAUACGCAUGGUCCUCCAUUUUAUCAAAACUUCUAAGACAGAACAAUCAAUUGCUUCAGCUAGACGACGACGACUACUCCUCCUUCUCUCCGUACUACGACUUACUACUUUGUGCGUCUUCAACUCAGUGAUGACGCAAGCUGCGUCUAAAAAACACACGAAGAAGACCAACAUAUACGAAACGCGCUCUGUAGAGCUGUUUGUCCGUUAGAGCUUACUGUACAAAACAUGGCUGCGCAACAUAACAAAUUCCAUGUAGAUAGGCCCGCUCCCUAUGUAGAUACAACUGGUUUAUUCUAAGGUAAUAAAAAC